rnacentral:rRNA from 1 species
AUUGAACGCUGGCGGCAGGCUUAACACAUGCAAGUCGAGCGGGGAAGGGUAGCUUGCUACCUAACCUAGCGGCGGACGGGUGAGUAAUGCUUAGGAAUCUGCCAUUUAGUGGGGGACAACAUUCCGAAAGGAAUGCUAAUACCGCAUACGUCCUACGGGAGAAAGCAGGGGAUCUUCGGACCUUGCGCUAAAUGAUGAGCCUAAGUCGGAUUAGCUAGUUGGUGGGGUAAAGGCCUACCAAGGCGACGAUUUGUAGCGGGUCUGAGAGGAUGAUCCGCCACACUGGGACUGCGACGCGGCCCAGACUCCUACGAGAGGCAGCAGUGGGGAAUAUUGGACAAUGGGCGGAAGCCUGAUCCAGCCAUGCCGCGUGUGUGAAGAAGGCCUUAUGGUUGUAAAGCACUUUAAGCGAGGAGGAGGCUACUUAGAUUAAUACUCUAGGAUAGUGGACGUUACUCGCAGAAUAAGCACCGGCUAACUCUGUGCCAGCCGCCGCCGUAAUAC